rnacentral:lncRNA from 1 species
GGUUUAGGCCAUAAGGAGCGAAAUCGAGACGAGCUAGGGAAACUCCCAAAGUGUUGAGCCCAGCUAGAUUGUUGACGUUCACAGCAGUAACAUUAGAACCUUGUCGAUUUGCUGUAUUUCGAGGUAUGUUCAGUCCCUGAAAGAAGAAAUCAUUGGCGUUCACGACCUUUGGGUCCUUACAAAUCUUUCCGUUCACAAACACUGCAUUAAAAAAACUAGCUGUUAAUAAUGUAAUAAUGAGACUAAACAAACCCACAUUGAAUUUUGCAUGUCUUAUUAGGUGUCAUGCACGAUGUUGUGAAAAUAAUAAUAAUAAUAAUGAAGAGAGAACUCACAGGUCAAAGCAAACAUGAUAGGAUACGAAAAUUGUGCUUAGAAAAAGAAAAAUGUUUUGCAACAUGUUCUGAUAGGUAUAAGGAAUUACCAGCAUUUUUGGGAUCAUUGAUUGCAACACAAAAAUCCUGCAAAGGGCUAGGAUCAGAAGCGAUAGCAAGGGAUGAAAGUAGUGCCAUUGUGGCUAUGGUUAUCAGGAAUGGAGUUCCCAUGGUAGUUGUGGAUGAGAUCUAGUAUUUCUUACACUAACUCUUUGGUUGAUGGUUUGAGGGAUUUGGGCAAAGAUUGAAGGUAUAUAUAUAUAGGCAUGUUUCAAUUGACUAAGUCACCAAGUUUUUCACUAUUACAUUAAGAAAAUCAGAUUCCUUGACAACUAGGCCAUCAGGUUAGGUUGGUGACUUUUUAAAAUUGCAAGUUAGUCAGCAAGAGCGAACUUUCCCCAACAACUAGGCACAUGCAUUUAGCUGCCUAAGUCUCUUAUCUGAACUCUAUUUUUUUUUUUUUCGCCUCUUUCUUGAAUCUUUUUUCUUUGGAUAAAUUAUUUAUUACCCCCUAUGAUUUUACCUAAAACUAGAUGACCCCUCAAAGGUAUUAAAAUAACCACAUAACCCCCUGUGACUUUAUAUAAAGUGAAAAAUGGAUGGAAUACACAAUUAGUUAUGGCAUUUGUAUCAAACGUGCUUUAAAAAUGCAUGUGAUAAAAUCGUAAUAUCCACGUAACUCCCUUAUGAUUUGUAUAAGUAUCCAUUUUACCCUCCUAUGAUUUUUACAUUUAUCCACGUAAUCUCCUUAUACUUUUAUACAAGCCGGUUACGCCGUUGAUUAAUUUAGCAUUUAAGUAAGGGUACUAAUAGUAUUUUAACUAACAACGUUAUAUAGGUUAUUUUCUAUCAAAUCCCGCUUUACACAAAAUUAUAGGGGAGUGAAGUGGAUAUUUUAAAACAUUAAAGAGCUCAUGUGGCAAUGGACGAAACCACCGGAGGGUUAUAUGUAAUUUAACCUUUUUCUUUUCUCAAUGUCAUGCACCAACCAAUCCGAUCAUUUCUCCAUUGCUAGCGCUUUACUGGAAAAUGUUUCGACUUUCAUUGGGCACUUUAGUUUCUUUUAAUGAAAUUGGUUUGGGCAGAUAGUGUACGAUCUAACAAGCAUGGAAUGUCUGGAUUUGUUGCCACUCGACUUGUAUUGUAUGAGAGCAUGUUGCUCCAAAUUUAUAAGCCUAUAUCUUCUUAUGGCCAAUAUUCUAAGUAUUCAAUAUCAGUUUUUCCUUUCCUGCUCCUACAAGAAAAAAAAAAGAGAAAGAAAGAGCAAGAAAGGUAUAUACCAAUUGGAACGGUCUCCUAUCAGUGUUAAUUUCUUGAUUGAACUUUUACUUUGAUGGUAAAAAGUUUGAAAAGGUCAUGAAGCUAUUCUUGAAACCCUUGUAAUUCUAGAUAUAAUGAUUUUUUUCUGUUGACCAUCCUCCAACAGGUUCUAAUGAUAUGCUUUGUUUGAAUGUUCAGAGUACAGCUAAUACUUCGAAAUUCGUCUUUAAUGCAAAAGAGUUAGCAUGAGAAGCAGUCAGAAAUUCAAUCUUAAUUAUCCUUUUUAGAUUGGAUCCUCUGACUAAAUAUACUUAGCUUUGUUUGGAUUUCAUUUUUCUGGAUUUUUUAUAGAAAAAUUACUAUAGCGAUUUGAUAUAUGUGAAAUAAAAAAAAAUAAUUAAAACAUGUAUCCACAAAAAAAUCGUUUUGAAAAAUUGCAAUCCAAACAGAGCCUUAGCUGGAUAUGCAAUAAUAAAUUAGAGCAUUAAUCUGAUCCAAACUCAGAAAGGCUUUGUGAUAAAACGUACUAUCCCACGCCAUUGUAAUUUUCCAUAUUACCUAGUCAAACCUUAUUAAUUGUGCCCUCAGGGGCUUGGUCUGGUGGUUGAGGUUGUUGAAGAUGGAGUUUCAGAUCUCUGGUUCGAACCUUGCUGCCAGCAAGUUGUUGAGGGUGGUGAAUAGUCUGCGGGAUCCACUCCCUGCGGGACACACCUAAAACAAAAACAAAAAAAAACCUUAUUAAUUGUUUCUAGAAGUUAAGAAGUUAAUAUUCAUGCACUUCUGCCCGCUGUAAAUCCAGAGAAAUUUGGUAGCACAACUAAUCUCGUUUGCAAAUUAAGUCUUUUUAAUAUUCAGUUGGUGGUGUUAGUUGAUUAAAAAAGAUAUAUGACCUAAAUAUCAACCGUUUAGGUGAUCAUUUGUCAUGACCUGGUUUUUAAAAAUAUAGAAAGUAGUUAAUUCCAACCGCGUUAUUAAAAAAGCAUGCACUUCCAGGCAGGCCAGAAGAACUUCUUUGCCUCUUUCUUGAAAAUGAUAUAUGAACUUACGUUAAGGAUAAGAGAUGCCCGAAAGUCUUUGCUGCUGGUUCAAUGCAAACAUGCUCAAACAUGGCCUUCAGGGAUUCAAAAAAUAUUUGUACUCCAGUAACUAGAAAUGACAGAAGUGCUUAUAAUUAGAAGGCUGCCUUGCAGUUUUUCUGCCUGUAGUUGAUUGCCCAUGUUUUUCCAUUUUAUUUUUUGUUGAUUCCAAAUAUUUUCCAAUAUAUUGGAAAUAAUUUUUUUCACAUUAUGUUAAUUCAUUUAGGAUGUUAAAGAAUCCCAUUAUCUUUCUUAGUUUCAUUUCAAGCGUAGAAAAUAUGCAACCAUUAUACAGUCACAUACUCUCGAAUUGCUUUCAAAAUAGAGGUAUCCCAUCAGUAAAUAUACCUUAAUAAGUUAUAUACAAAAGAGCAUGCAAUACUCUAUAAAGGUCAUCAGUUAUUAGCAAAAGUUGGAGAAACUCUUGGUUCCAUUUGUGGCUAUAAUUGCCCUAGUCAAAACAAAGCAGGGUAUUAUUUCCACAUUGAUUUUUCCUAUGAUUUUCAUUGCACCUUAAGUUAUAUCAAUAUUUAUAAUGAAAUACUGUACUAUCCAAAAAAUGGAUAUAAAAUUCACAAACAUGCCAAAACAUCAUCUAUGUUUUAAAUGUCAAAGCAUCAUAAGCUAAAUGCAGGGAUUCAUGUCCUCCGAUGCAGUCAUUACAAACUUACGAGUGACGGAGUCAAAACUUCAUAAUUAGAGGGAGCGAAAUAAUCACCUAAGCUAAUAACAUACUGUUAGUAAAAUUAGGCUGGUACAAUAUAGGAAAGAAUAAAUAUAAACUGAAAAUGGGUGGAGAUAGAAAAUAACAAUCUGAGGCUUGUGAGCGCAAUUUCCUUAAAACAGAUUUGCCCCCUAUAGGUAGAGUGCUCGAAGUUAAGUAGGCGUCUGUCUCCCAGGAUACAACGGAUUAAAGGUGAAAAUGUUAGCACCAAACUUCUUCACCACAGCGAACUCGAACUAGAGCAAUAUAUAUGAAACACUAUAAAAGAUGAAGAUGCAAAAGAAUUAAAAAAAAUUGGAGAGAGAGCUCUAUUUUUUUAAAACAAAAUAAAAAGAGAGUUAUUUAUAGAUGCUGGCCAAGGGUGAUUGUAGACAUUGGAAACAAAUGUUAAAUUUCAUUUAAUUAUCUUCACAUUUAUCAAAGUACCACAUUCACGUACAUACAUGUAUUCUCGAUAAGAAAACUCCAAAUUCAUGUAUUAACAAUUACGUACAUAAAUACUUAAUUCCUAAGUACAUGAAUCCUAGAUACAUGAAUCUUUAAGUACAUGAAUGAUAGAUAAUUAUCCUUGGAUUCUAUCAAGAGUGUCAUUAUGAGAACGAUUUUCUCAUUCACUCUACAAUGGAUUUUCCAUUUUCCCAACAAUCCCCCACGUGAAUGAAAAAAUUGUUUUGAAUUUGACUCUACAGUAGUGUUCCACAACUGAGACCUGCAUAAGAUAGGUUGGUGUUACCCUUUGAACCUUCUCUCGUGAAAUACACUUACUUUACUAGCAAUCCAGUAGACAUGAUGUCUUUGAACUGUCCCGCUUUUCAGUGUAAAUGAACCAUAUAUUUCACACAGGAAUCAUGCUCCAUUUGUUCAGUUCUCAUAGUUAUGUUCGUUUUGGCCAUGAACAUCAACCUGGUUCAGCAAGAGUUUUUAGAAUUGAGCCCUAAACAAUUCUCUUUUGAAGCGGCCCCACUUCACUCUCACAUAGGUGAUUUACUUAAGUCUCUAGCAAUUAAUUACUGCACUUAAGAAUCAUUAAAGCACACCAUUGUACUAUCCUCAAUUCUUCUUUGCGUCAUUUUUUCAUUAUGGAAUGGGUCUAGGGAUAUCCCCCCCACAAUUACUAUGCUAAGUCCUUAUAAUUAGGUUGUCCCUUUGAACCUAGAUAUUGGGAUCUCCAGUCUGUUAGGUUGGGUUUCCUUUAUAACACUUAGCCUUCCAUGGGCUUUAGUCCCAUUCCCUUUGCCAUUUUUUCAACCAACUCUCUAUUCAAUCCUUUGGUUAGCGGAUCCGUUAUGUUAUCCUUUGAUUUCACAUAAUCAAUAGAGAUAACUCCUGUUGAGAGUAGUUGUUUAAUGGUAUUGUGCCUACGACGUAUAUGUCUAGACUUACCAUUAUAUAUGUGAUUUUGUGCUCUUCCAAUUGCUGAUUGACUAUCACAAUGAAUACAUAUUGGUGGCACAGGUUUUUCCCAUUUUGGAAUGUCCUCAAGGAAAUGGUGUAGCCAUUCAGCUUCUUCUCCACAUUUAUCCAAGGCAAUGAAUUCAGAUUCCAUUGUAGACCUAGCUACAAUAGUUUGUUUAGAAGACUUCCAGGAUACUGCCCCACCGGCAAGUGUGAACACAUAUCCACUUGUAGAUUUUGAAUCUUUUAUAUCAGAUAUCCAAUUUGCAUCAGCGUACCCUUCUAGAACAGCAGGGUAUCUAGUGUAAUGCAGUCCAUAGUUCCGAGUGUACCGUAGGUAUUUAAGUACCCUUGAAAUUGCUUUCCAAUGAUCAGCACUCGGAUUGUUUGUAAAUCUGCUCAAUUUGCUCACUGCAUAUGCAAUGUCAGGUCUAGUGCAACUCAUUAAAUACAUUAGACUUCCAAUGAUUCGUGAGUAUUCUACUUGAGAAAUACUCUCUCCUCUAUUCUUAGAUAGAUGGAAACUAUUGUCUAAUGGAGUUCUUGCAAUUCCAGAAUCAUUCUUAUUGAAUUUUUCUAGAAUCUUGUCCACAUAAUGAGUUUGGCUCAAGACCAAGCCGUCUGAUAUUCUUGUAUAGUGUUCCAUAUUUUGUAGGAGCUAAUAUAGUGUUCCAUAUUGCUCUAGUUCGAGUUCGCUAUGGUGAAGAAGUUUGGUGCUAACAUUUUCACCUUUAAUCCGUUGUAUCCUAGGAGACAGAUGGCUACUUAACCUCGAGCACUCUACCUGUAGGGGGCGAAUCUGUUUUAAGGAAAUUGUGCUCACAAGCCUCGGAUUGUUAUUUUCUAUCUCCACCCAUUUUCAGUUUAUAUUUAUUCUUUCCUAUAUUGUACCAGCCUAAUUUUACUAACAGUCUUAAAACAGAUUCGAUUCUCAAUGGCUGACAAUAAAGGAAGAGAAACCAACAAUUCUACUUCUGAUGCCUCUGCCUCUGGCACUAUUGUGAAACGACCUGAAGGAAUGAUUACUCCUAUGGUUUCUACCAACCAUAGUAAGAAACCUGAGAAGUUCCAUGGCUUGAACUUCAAGACAUGGCGACAAAAAAUGUUGUUCUAUUUGACAACAUUGAAUCUCUCGAGAUUCUUAAGUGAGGAUGCUCCAAAACUACCUGAGGGCUUAACUGAUGCACAAGCUAUCAGUGCUAUUGAUGCUUGGAAGCACUCCGAUUUCCUUUGUUGAAAUUAUAUCAUGAACUGCUUGCAUGACUCGCUGUAUAACGUGUAUCAAGUACACAAGACGGCGAAGGGCAUUGUGGGAAUCCUUGGAUCAGAAAUAUAAAACCGAAGAUGCCGGGGCAAAGAAAUUUGUCGUCGGAAAAUUUCUAGACUAUAAAAUGGUGGAUUCCAAGACUCUUAUCAGUCAGGUGCAAGAAAUUCAGAUUAUCUUGCAUGAGAUUCUAGCUGAAGGCAUGAUUUUGAGUGAAACCUUUCAAGUAGCUGCUGUUAUUGAAAAGCUACCUCCUGGGUGGAAGGAUUUCAAGAACUAUCUCAAGCACAAGCGCAAAGAGAUGAGUAUGGAGGACCUUAUUGUUAGACUUUGAAUUGAAGAAGACAACAGGGGUUCCGAUUACAAGGCAUUAAAUUCUUUUGAUGCUAAAACAAAUAUUGCGGAGUGUAAGCAAGAGCAAAACUCCAAAGGCAAAAAGCCAAAUCGAAAUUUUGGGGCAAAAGGGAAAAUCUCUAAGCAGAAAUUUCAAGGGAAAUGCUUCAACUGUGACAAAAAAGGUCACAAGUCCACUGAAUGUAAGCUUCCAAAGAAGAAGAAGCAUGAAGCGAACUUGCUUGAUAGAAUCGAGAGAGACAUGGAAAACAUGAACCUGACUGCUGUGGUUUCUGAAGUGAAUAUGAUGGGGUCAAAUCCGAAAGAAUGGUGGAUUGACACUGGAGCAACAAGACAUGUUUGCACAAACAAAGACCUGUUCACUACCUUCGAAAAAAUUAAAGGUGAAAAUGUUAGCACCAAACUUCUUCACCACAGCGAACUCGAACUAGAGCAAUAUGGAACACUAUAAAAGAUGAAGAUGCAAAAGAAUAAAAAAAAAUUGGAGAGAGAGCUCUGUUUUUUUAAAACAAAAUAAAAAGAGAGUUAUUUAUAGAUGCUGGCCAAGGGUGAUUGUAGACAUUGGAAACAAAUGUCAAAUUUCAUUUAAUUAUCUUCACAUUUAUCAAUGUACCACAUUCACGUACAUACAUGUAUUCUCGAUAAGAAAACUCCAAAUUCUGGUAUUAACAAUUACGUACAUAAAUACUUAAUUCCUAAGUACAUGAAUCUUCAGGUACAUGAAUGAUAGAUAAUUAUCCUUGGAUUCUAUCAAGAGUGCCAUUAUGAGAACGAUUUUCUCAUUCACUCUACAAUGGAUUUUCCAUUUUCCCAACACAUACAACUUAAGUUUUAAUUCUUGUUAUACAAAAGAAAAAUUAGGCAAAAGUUAUUCUUUGUGCUUGUUGAUAGGAGUCAAUAUCACCAAAAAUAAAAUAUCUACUCUUAAUAUCUACUUUUGAGUGCAAUGGCGAGUAAGGUCAUAUCCAUAGGGAUUGGCUAAUUUAUUUUUUUGCAAAAACUACAAGCAACAUGAGAGGGGGGAGACUUUUAGAAAUUUAACUAAAUAAUUUAAUUAAAAGUAAAUAAAAAUGCAACAAUAUAAUAAUACUAAAUUAAUAUUAUACAAACUUCUAGUUAACUAAUCAUUGAUGCAAGGAUAAAAAUCAUAUAUUCAUAAAUAAAUUGGUUAUAGUUGUUAACAAACUCUAAUAACCAAUCUUUCCUUACUUUCUCAAUAAUCACAGCAGGCUCUAUAGUUACUUUUUAAAUCAAAAGACAACCCUAAACAAGCUAUUAGGAUUUGAUCUUUCAAAAUCAUUAAGAACUAGAAAAGCCAAUUCUAGCCAACUAACUCGCAGAUUCGAUUCAUUUAGAUUGGAUUAUAUAUUUCCAUGACAUAUAUUUGAAAGUUUCUACUACAAUCAAAUUAUAUCACUAACCAUAAAUACUAAAACUAUUAAAAAUUACGGAAUUGAUAUUUUAGAUGUUGAUAGAUUAUUCUGACAAUUAAAUAUUGACCAGAUAUUUAAUCAUGCAAAAUAAUUAUCUCAAGAAAGCACAUAGAAUUUAUAAAUACCCAUGAACUAAUGAAACAUAAAAAAAUCAAAUUAGAUCUCAUUGUAGAACCAAAAGCCUUUAUUAUCUGUCAACUAGAGAUGAAAGUAACAAGAGAAAAAUAUAGAAAAAAAUAUAAAAAUAGGAUUCACAAGAGAGUGAAAGAGAUAGAGAGAGCCGCCCUCCAAAAAGAAUGUUCUUAUGUCUGUCACGUCUCCUUUUAUAUGAGACUCUUUCCCCAAAAUUAAUCCUCUACUAAAAAGGAAUCACUCUUAUUUUAUAAUAUUCUACCUACUAAAACCUCUUCUAAAAAGGAAUAAAGUAAUAAAUAUCCAAGACUAAUUGGUUACUAUCUAAAAAUAAAAGUUUGCUAAACAAAGUUGGAUUCAAAGUCUGCUGCCGAUAAGGAAAAGAGUCGGCUUGAAGAUUUCUUAUCUAGUAAUAAAUAGAACUGAAAACGAACCGAGCCAAGUCGAAUAUCUCAUGUUUGAACUCUGCUUAUUAAACUACUCAAACAAAUCUCGAGUUCGUUUGAUAAUAUUUGAGCUCCAGAUCUGUAUUCGUACUCGGCUCAUAAGCAAAAUUCUAGUUCGAUUUUGAGCUUAAUCUCGACUCGUUUAACAUAAACGAGCCAUUCGCAAACAAUUAGACCCAUUUUUGCAAAAAAUUAAGCCUAGAAUUAGGGAUUAGGAAUACAAUAUUAACCAUAAAUUUUGUGAAAUGACAAUUAAGUCCAUUUUUGCGAACGAUCGUUUAAAUUCGUGAACGAGUUAUGUUUAGCCAAUCCUUUCAAGACAGAAGACAUUAUUAGAACACAUUAAUUCAUAUAUACAACGUAUUUAGAAGUCAGCAGUAUCUACGAGAAGUUAAAGAUCAAUAACUUAAUCUCAGGUAGUCAUGAUAAAUUACAGGACAAGAUAAUUCCUUGCUUGAAUUGUUGACAACUUAGAUAAGGCAGAAAGCCCUCAGACUCCUCUGCAGUGGAUAUUACUGAACAAUUGGUUUUACAAUUAAGAGCUGCUUUCAGAAACACCCGGCCAAUUCUCUCAAAGGGGCUCAUCUCCUCACUGCUGAAGCAGAAUGGGUAAGUAAAAGUGCCAAGCAAGAAAAAGAUAAGCGCAAAACCAAUGGCGAGGCAGAGAUUCCCAAAUCCAAGGCUCCAACAAGGUUAUCCCGAAAAUAGAUCAAAAUCAGUACCAAAUCCAAGGCCCCAACUAAGGUUAUCCUGAAUAUAGAUCAAAAUCAGUAAUAUGACCGACACAGCCCCGCAGACCCCAAAAUUCCACCAGUUGAAAAACGAGCUUUGUGCCUUGCUUUCUUCUCCAUCAAAUUGGUCAGCUCCAAAAGCCUGUAUACAAGGGUUAAACUCUCCAUGGGCUACAGUUGAAAAACGAGCUUUUGGCCUUGUGUUCUUCUCCAUCAAAUUGGUCAGCUCCAAAAACUUGUAUACAAGGUUUAAACCCUCCAUGGGCUACAGCUACUAGAUACAAUGGGAAAAAGAAGAAAAUAACUUGGAACUCCGAAGGAGAACAUUUCAUAGCAUUUGCCGCAUUGUGACAGCUUGGAACUCCGAAAGGGUCAAGAAGCCAAGUCCCUGAUGAUUGACAGAAAUGUAAAGCUUAAAAAAUUGUGAUACCGAAAUUAAGCUUUUGGCCACUUGUUGAUGACUAAGUAACAAAUCUGGAGUCAUGCAUAAUUUUCUCUAGGUAAUUAUUCCGUUCUUCCUUUGGUAGUAAUUAACCCCUCAACCUAUUUUCACUCAUAAUUGAUAUAUGAGGUACACAUCAAACUUCUUGCGGAGCGCUUUUUUCUUUUUCUUUUUUUUUUGUUUGGGCUUCUUGUGGAGCAUUAGCCAUUGAAAAUCAAAUUCAGAGCAUUAUACAGCCAAAAGAGCUGAGAGUUUUAACUACAAAAUUGUCUAAAUAGACAAUAUUCAAUUAUAUUCAAUUCUCAGAGAGUGCAUCUACAAGACUACAAUGUUUUUUUUUUUUUUUUAUUUAGCUUGUAGUAUGACUUCUUAGAGAAUAGAUUAUACUACAAACAUCUUGUUACGUACUUGGGUGUUAAUUUUCCCUCUAAAUCACCAAGAUUGAGCUCAGGCAUAAAAUCAUCCACAUUAUUUAAUUCUCCGCACACUAAAAAUUUUUAAAAGAUAAAAUUAAACCAAAAAAAAAUUUUAUAUACAAAUUCCCAAAUCCACAAAUAACAGUACCAAUAUUAACAUAAAAUAAAAGGUAAGAUAAAAAGAAAGGAAAAUAAGAUGGUAACGGCCCGUGACUUAUCCCAGAGUUGUGCUAAAAUUGUGGGAGGAAAUGGAUUACCGGUUCCUCCCAUAUUUUUAUCUUUCAGCUCUCCCUCUCGCACUGCACCCUAUAAACUUGCUAUCUCUGCCGUCGGCUCCCAAAUCCUUUUAAUUACCAACUUAUUUGUCUACUGACGGCAAUCAUUAGAUUCUAACCAUUACUCAGACCGUCUCCCCAUCCGACUUCGUCUCCCAAAUUUUCUUUUUCUUGAGAAAAUUCUACUUUUUAUUAUGUACUGAAAAAAAAAGAGAAAGGAACUUGUACAAUUUGAAGGGACAAAUCAUUGGGUUUUUAACUGCAAUUUUCUAAAACCGUUUUAAAUGUUUGGCUUCAUUCCUGUUUGCUGUCCAUUUUUGAGGCAUCGAAAGCCGAUUAAAAAUUUUGGAGACGUUGCUAUAAGCAAGGGAAAUGAUUAAUUUGAGAUUCAUUUUGGUUUUCAUUUUGAGUUUUACAUGUCAUUUAGGAUUUGUUGUUGAAAAAGGAUAAAGUUAUGCAUCGAUUUGGCAAUGAUUUGCAGUCGCUGGUUGGUGUCUCCAAUGGGAUUGUGAUAGGUUGUGGUUGCCGGCUAUUAUCUCCACCCAGAUUGUGGUGUUUGCUCCCAACAAUUGUGAUCGGAUGCAGUUUUCCUCUUUCCAUUUUAAUUGAAUGUGAAAGUAUUUUCCAAGCACUAAAUUAUAUUAUUAACCGAUCUGACAGACCUCCUCUUAAAGACUCAAUCUAACAGACCUCUGUAGAUUCAAUCUUAAAGGCGUCUGUGAUGUAAAUGUUGCUCAAAACGAAAUAACAACGAAAGGAAAGCAAUAACUAAUAAAUGGCCUCAAGAUAGGAUGAUUUUAAAAUUCAAAAAUCAGGUACACUUUCUUUAUCUUCUCAAAGACAAUUGUAUGGAUAGACAUUAUUUGCAUCAUUAUUUUUUCAUCUAAUUUUUUAAUUUUAUAAUCUUUUUUUUUUAUCUCACAUUCAAGUGCUACCAUGUUACUUCCUCAAUUUUUUUUCAUUAUUUCACUUUUUUAAUGCUUCAAAAUAGGAGCCACAUUCGAAAUGUCAACGGAAUGUUUCAUUGCUUUUCACCAGGGGCGGAGCUAAGACCCCACAGUAAGUGGGGUCAAAUUUUAGUACAGUAAAAUUUAUUUUUUAAAAAAAUAAAAAUUACUAAUAUUAUAUACAUGUUAUCAUUAUGCCCUACGAGUACUCUUUUUUUUUUUAAAAUGUUGUAAAAUCAAUUCAUUAUCAAUUUUGUUAAAUGCAUAUUUUUCAAUGUAAGUAACUGAAUCUCUUGAAUUUUUUUAAAAUAAUCUGCAAAUCACCAUCAACUUAAUCUUCUACAGGUUUCUUUUAUAAAAUUUAUCUUUACCAUAUUAUAAAUAAAAAUCAUAAUAACUUAAUUACGUAUUAUAAAUAAAAAGUUUACUAUCCACUUGAAUAAUUAUUGUUUUUGAAGAUUUUGAAGUUUGAAAAAAAUGAUUUGAAAAAUUGGUUUUCUCACUCCACUCAAGAAAGUUCUCCCCUUGUGUUUGGAAAUUUUAGAUGAAUUUAUUCUUGAACUAAAUUCCAUAGAUAAUUUGAAAUAAAUUCAAAAUUAUUGUGAUGGUAAGAAUUAUGAAUUUUCAAAUUUUUGGGGUCAAUGUAUAUAAGAAAGAGAAUCUGAUAAAAUAUAGUGAGGUCAAAUAAUCUGUAACUUUAAAAUUUUUCAAAUUUCUUAAGCCUAAGAACUAAUUUUUCAAAGUUAGGUGGGGUCAAUUGACCUUACUUGCUUGUAUGUAGGCAUGGCCACGGUUCCAGAACCAACGGUUCCAGAACCAACGGUUCUGGUUCCAGAACCGCCGGUUCUGGUUCUUCAAAGAGGUAGAACCAGAACCGCACCAUAUAAGAUGGUUCUGGUUCUGGUUCCAGAACCGGCGGUUCUGGUUCUUCAAAAAGGUAGAACCAGAACCGCAUAGUUCUGAUUUCGAUUCCUUAUGGUUCUGGUUCUGGUUCUGGUUCCGGUUCCGGUUCCGUAUGGUUAUAUACAAUUUUAUUUAAUUUCUUAUCCUUACCAAUUUUAAUACGAAUAUAACAAUAUAUUUAAAAUUUUAAAUAAAAUGUAAAAAAAUAAAUACAAAAUAAAUAUCAUAUUUUAAUUUUAUUAUUAUUCUACAAAGUACGAAAUAAUAAAUAGAUAAUAGAUGAAGAAAUUGAGAGUAGUUUAGAGAUGGAAGAGAGAAGAUUGAUUUUGGUGUAGUAGAAAAUAAAAUUUCAAGUCUUAUUUAUAGGACAAAAUGAAAUUAAAAAUUUGGAACGUUGUAUUGUAACGUUCCAAAUUUGUAACGUUGUAUUGAAAAUUUGGAUAAAAUUACAACGUUGAAUUGUAACGUUGUAAACUUGUAAUUCACCCUAACCCCCAAUUUGUCAAAUUUAGCAGGCAGCCACCUUUCUUGUUUUUUUUCUAUCCUUUGCUUUGUUUCUUUCUUCCGUUGAGAGCCUGAGGACCUUUGUGCAAGUCAGGAGGAGCCCCCGAGAGCAAAAAUUGAGAGCAAAAAUUGUGGUGGCAUCAUGAUGACCUUGGUCAUCAUGAUGCCUCUACUUUUAUUAUUUUUUAUAUUAAUUAUUUUUAAAUUUUUUAACGGUUCUGGAACCGGCGGUUCUGGUUCUGGUUCUAUUUUUUAGAGAACCAGAACCGGAACCUUUAUCCAAGGUUCUACUACGGUUCUGGUUCCACGGUUCUGGUUCCGGUUCUGGUCCGGUUCCAAACGGUUCGGUUCCGGUCCGGUUCCCGGUUCCAAGUGGAACCAUGGCCAUGCCUACUUGUAUGUGGCUCCGCCACUGCUUUUCACACUUAUCCAUUUGAAAAAAUAACUUUUCCCACCUAACAAUGCACUAUUCCUAAUUCCAAACUUUGAAUGUGAGAAUAAUAUUGUACGCAUUGUGGACCGAGCUUCUCAAUAAUCAAAUCAAGCUCUAACCCCGCAAAAGGGCUUCUGAAAAAGAAAACAAAUUUGAUUAAUUGAUUGAGUCAAGCUUAAAUAAAAAUUGACUAGUUCUUUAUAAUUUGUCCACCAAUUUGUCUACCUCCUUAAAUAAAAAAUUAAAAAAUUAAAAAAAAUUGUCUAGUUCGCUUCAUAAGCAAAAGGCUUUAUGGUUCCAUUUCCAUAUGAUCAAACUAUAGUAGAGUUCUGCCUUAAAAUAACAUACUAUAAACAAAAGGUUCAAACAAAUGGAGAAAACAAAGUAGGCACCAGAGAUAAAGCACAAGCACAAGUACACAAUGAAUAUUCCUACUAACAAGGCUGCAAGGGAUAAAGCCAAAAUAAAAGUACCAACCAGGAUAUAGAACAGUGAGGAAAGUACUAUGGUCCGGUAAUGGCCGAAAAACGAGUCGGCUAUAAAAGCACACGAAAGUGGCAAAAGCUGCGCUGUGCCGGACCAAGCAUUCACGUUCUCGGCCACCGCCGUAGCUGUGGCCGCAUCAAUUAACUGAUCAAAUUCCCACUUAUUCCGUAAUAAACAAACCUAUCUGCCAUCUCCAUACUGCAAAAAGAAUAACAAAGAAAACUUGGGCAUUUUUUUUUAUUAUUUAAAUCUGUAACAAAAUAAUUUGGCUUUCUUUUUUUUUUCCGAAACUUUAGGAUAAUUUCAUUCAGCGUAAAGAAAUUUACAUAUGCGAGCAAAGGCUCGAGAGAACUGUACAUUUAGUGUUCAAAGACACUGAAGAACAUUCCAUUCCUCAUCCAAAAGAAUGCGUAAGGCAUUAAAGCUAAGUCUUAUACUAUUUUCCAUAUUUUCUUCUCUAAGCAAGCAAAAGAAGCACAUGCGAAACAGCUUCUGCAUGUUAGAGAUGUCCUCAAGCAAAGUGGCCAUUCUACUAUCCGAGGGACUCUAAUGUGUUAUUUGUCUCAUCAAUUCCUUGUUGUGUGAGUUGAGCUUAACUCUACUCCACUGUUGUUGCACAGCUUUGCAUAAGACCAGUUUUAAUGCCACCGCAUCAUCUAGGACUUUUUUUCCCAAACUUCUCUCUUUUAGCGCCCAUUUUGCAAUCCUAGUGUUUGGAGUUAUCCUAGCUGUGACUCCAAUUCCAAGUGAGGUCUGUCCUUGCUGACUUGUUGUUGUCACAUCCAGGACUAUGGUUCCUUCACCUUCCUGACCCUGGCAUUGCUCUGCAUGCAUGUAUGCUGUUUCUUUUGUGCUCAUCCUUCCCUUAGAUUUCUCAAUUUCCUCAUGCUCCAGCCAUUCUUUGUGAGCUUUUUCGACUGUCCUUACUGGUGAGGAGUUGCUUGAGUUCUCAAAUUCUUUUUUGUUUCUAUCUUUCCACACUUGCCACAAGAUGUUUGCAGUCAGACUAUAUGUUCCAGCCCUUCCGGUCUUUUCCUUGCCUCAGAAAUUCUGAUCCACCAUCUUUUGAAGUCUCCUUGUUGAUCUUUAGCACCAUCCCAUUGGAUAGGGGCAGCCUUCCAUAUGUCAACAGUGUGUGGACAGCUUAGCAGUAAGUGUUCUACCGUUUCUUGUUCCUCCCUACAGGUUCUGCACAUUGGAUCUCCUAGUGCUGUCUUCUUGUGUAUUGCUUCUCUUACUAGCAAUGCACCUUUUAUAAAUUUCCAGAUGAAGAUCUUGAUUUUGUGUUUGAUGUUGAAUUUCCAUAGGGUGUGCCACAUCUGUUUAACUUGUUGGCUUCCAUCUGAGUAACUUGUACCAGCUGCAUCAGUUUUGCAUUUUUCAACACAAUUAUUUUCUUCCAUCAAGAUUCUAUAGCCUGAGCUGACUAUAUAUGUCCCUCCUGCUUGUGGUUGCCAAUAAUAACUGUCCUCCCUCCCUGACAAGCUUAGUGGAAUGUUUAGGAUCCUCUCUGUAUCAUUGUUGUUGAAAGUUCUAAAGAUGAUAUUCCUCUUCCACCUUUUAUGACAGAUUAGCUCAUUCACCGUCUUCAAGUCACAGUUUAGAGGUCUACUGGAAGUUGGUUUACCAGUGGUUGCCCCUGGUAUCCAUUUGUGUUCCCAAAUGCUUGUACUCCUUCCAUUUCCAAUUCUUCUGAUCAGACCUUUAUCAAUUAAACUUCUGGUUCCCAUUAAACCUUGCCAGAUCCAAGAGGCAUUCUUGAGUGGUUUGCAUUUUAAAAUGGAUUCCUUAGGGAAGUAUUUGGCUCUCAAAACUUUACUGACCAGGAGGUUUGGUUUGGUGAGAAUCCUCCAAACCUGCUUCCCUAACAGUGCUUUAUUGAAAGCUUCUAGGUCCUUAAAGCCCAAUCCUCCUUCAUUUCUCUUCAUUGCCAUUUUCCUCCAAGAAAUCCAAUGCAUUUUGUUAUUGCCAUUUGUUUCUCCCCACCAGUAGUUGGCCAUCAAUGCGCUAAUAUCUUUGCAGAGUUUCCUUGGUAGCUUAAAGCAGGACAUGGCAUACGUUGGCAUUGCCAUUGAAACUGCCUUCAGCAUUACUUCUUUUCUUGCUGUGCUAAGAAGCUUGUUUUUCCAGUCAUGCAACUUUCUCUUUAUGUUUUCUCUGAUGAAGUCAAAGAUCGGAUCUUUUGUUCUCGAGAUCACGAUUGGAAGUCCUAAGUAUUUCCCUUGGUUUGCUUCUACCAUUCCUCCCAGUGAUUUGCACACUUCCUUUCUUUGCUCAUAGGACAUGUUUUUACUAAAAAAGACUGCAGAUUUGUCAAAGUUGAUCAAUUGCCCUGAGGCCACUUCAUAGGUUUUGAGGACUUUCAUAAUUUCGGUGGCCUGUUGCAUGUUAGCUUUACAGAAAAUGAGGGAGUCGUUUGCAAAGAAAAGGUGGGUGAUGAUAGGUCCUUGCUUGCUGAUUUUCAGUCCUUUUAUUUUGUUGCUUUCUUCAGCUUUCCUCAGCGAGUUAUAAAAGCCUUCUGAGCAGAUUAAGAAUAAGUAGGGAGACAAGGGAUCUCCCUGACAUAUUCCCUUCUUGGUGUUACAAAGACUUUAGUUUCUCCAUUGCAGUUGAAAGAAUAGGUGACAGUCUUCAUACAGCUAGUGAUCCAGUUGAUCCAUUUUGUACAAUAGCCCAUCUUCUGCAUCAUUGCCUGCAAAAAAUGCCACUCCACCCUAUCAUAAGCUUUGGCCAUAUCUAACUUGAUUGCCAUAUAUCCUUCUUUUCCUUAUCUUUUGUUUUUGAGGUAGUGCAUGUACUCAUGAGUUAAGAUCACAUUGUCUAAGAUUUGUCUAUCUGGGAUGAAAGCAGAUUGAGUUUUGCUUAUGCAUUUAUCCAAGACAGAUUUCAGUUUGUUGGCUAUGAUUUUGGAAAUGAUUUUGUACAUCACACUACAAAGGCUGAUAGGUCUAUAGCUUUUCAAACAGGUUGGGUUCAGGAUUUUGGAAAUGAGUGAUAUGAUAGUAUGAUUAACAGAUUUAAGCAUGAAACCAGAACUAAAGAAGGAUUGAAUUGCUGGGAUUAGAUCAACCUUGAUAGUGCUCCAGAACCUCUGAAAGAACAAAUGAGACAUACCAUCCUGUCUUGGAGCUUUUUCAGGGUGCAUGGAGAAAAGUGCAGAUUGAAUUUCACUCUCCUCUACAGGCUUAGUAAGCUUAGCAUUCAUCUCCUGAGUGAUGGAAUGGGGAAUACCUUCUAGAAUUUCUGACAUAUCACUACUUCCUCCACUGUUAAACAUGUCCCUAAAGAAAUCUGAGAUUUCAGACACUAACUCAUCCUUAUUUUCUAUCCAAGAACCAUCCUCCCUUUGCAGUUUCCUAAUCCUGUUGUUCGUUCUUCUCCCCUCGAUAUAGGCAUGGAAGUACUUAGUAUUCUUAUCUCCAUCUCUAAGCCAGCUAAUCCUGGCUUUCUGACUCCAGAAAUUUUCUUCCUCUUUGUAGGCCUCUUUCAACUGAUCUUUGAGUUAUGCAAUUCUACCUUUUUUGUUUUCUGCACCUGAGUCUCUUACACUCUCCAAUUCCUUCUUCAAAUCAAAAAUUUUACUUUUAGAGUUUGCCUGGAAGGUAUUUCUCCAUUUCAGAAGCUCAAUUCUACAAUUUUUUAUCUUCUUUGUGAUUUUGAACAUUCUGAAUCCUUGUUCCUCUUUCUGCCAGGCUCUCUCAACCACCUGUUAAACCCCUUCCCUUUGAAGGCAUCUUUUAUUAAAAUAGAACCUUUUUUUCCUUUUUUCUUUAUCUGGAACUGUAUCUAGCAGGAGCAUACUAUGGUCAGAAGCAUAAGUAUCUAUGUGCUGGCAUCUUGCCUUAUCAAAAGUUUGAAACCACUCAAAACUACACAAACAUCUAUCUAAUCUUUGUCUUACCUCUCCUUCAUUAUCCCAGUGAUUGCUCCAUGUCCAAGGGUGUCCUUUAAAUCCUAUGUCUAUUAAACUAUUCUGGUCCAUGAAGUCUUUAAAAUCCUUAAAACUCCUUUCCUCUCUGACUACUCCUCCCCAUUUUUCUUCGUUAGACAAAAUAUCAUUGAAGUCCCCAGCAAUCAUGUAUCUAGCUCCCCACAGUCUUUUCCUAUCACUCAGGACCCUCCACUACUCCUUCCUGGUCUGAGGCUCACAACUAGCAUACACACCAACAAACCACCAGUCCAUUUGAGUAUCAUUGUCUUCUAUUUAGCUUCAUAGGUAAACACUAUUUUGUUCACCUCCAAAAUAUAUGCAUCCUCCUUCCAUAACAGAGCCAUUCCUCCUGUCUUGUUCAUUGCUUCUACUACUGCACCACUAUCAAAUCUAAGGCCUUUAACCACUCUAUCUAUGACUUGUUUCCUAUUCUUAGUCUCACUUAAAAUAUCAGAUUUGGAGAGGAGAGGUUAUUCACCUACCUCAGAUGGGGAACUGUCAAGGGGCUCCCCACUCCUUGGCAGCCCCUUGACAGUUCCACACCAAGACUCUCAUUUCCCUUGGGGGGUCCCAUUAAGGAAGGACCCCACCUCCUCUCCAAUCAUCUCAGUUGGAUCAAGUUCAUCCGCUAGUUUGGCCUUUUUCCAUAACACUGUAACCUGGCUUACUUCCUCUAUUUCUUCAUCUCUGAUCAGUGCCUUCCUUUUGCCAAUACUUAAAUGGUUAUUUUCAUUUCCAUUUAUUUCCUUCAAAGGCCUUCUAGUUUUAGUUGGAGACUUCAACUUUUUGAAUGUUCUUUUGGUCUGCUUCUCAAUAGCUUCCUGUACUAUCACAUUCCUUUGGGGCUCUUCCUGUAUCACUUCCUCCCCUGCAGCUUUCUCAUUCAUUCUAUUUUCUUGAUCCUUCGCUCGAAAAACUGUUUCUCUGUCCUCCUCCAUAUCUUCUACCUCAACUAGAAUUUGGUUCUCUUCUUCCUCCUGUGCUUGUUGUGGGAGGUCUUGUUUUCCCUUAUCUAGGUACAGGGGGCCAUUACUGUACUCUUGUGCAGGUUCUCUAGCUUCUAGUCUAUAUGGUGAACCUCCUAGACCAUGCUCAAUUCUCAUAUCCUCCAACUCCUUCAUAAGAUCCUGAUUGCCUUUUCUUUCUUUUCCUGUGAUCUUAAGAGUUUCCAAGAAGCUUUCCUUCAACUGUGUCCUGGUUCUCUCUUGCUCAAUCAUUUCUCCAUUCUGGAAUUUCCAGUAACUUUUGUCAUUUGGCAUGUCAGUCCUCACUGGUUUUUUCUGUGGUGAAUUUUUGUUAUUUCCUACUCUCAACCAGGGCCCAUACUGGUUCUCUGAAAUGCUUCCUGAUAUGACUCUCUUAUCUUUGCAUGACCGUUCACUGUGACCUACUAUUCCACAACUAUAGCAAAAGUCUGGGCAUCUUUCAUACUUAAAGGCUACCCAUUUGAUAAACCCUGUCAAUUUCACCAUUGUUCCUCUGAGAAGGGGCUUUGACAAAUCUGUUAAGGCUAAGAUUUUCAAAUGUCUACCCUCUUUACCCCCUGUCUAAGGAAUUGGGACCUCUUUUACUUCUUUGAACACAGCCCCAAUCUUUCUACCUACCUCUUUGGUUAGCCAGUGUACUGGCAGGUUCCAUAUCUGUACCCACAGAGGUGCAGUCACAAAGGCUCCAUAAUUCUCUUCAAUUCCUUCUGACCACCUGUUCAACACUAAUAUUUGACUAUCUAUCAUCCAAGGGCCUCCUUCUACAAUUCUGUCUUUGUCGUCUAGAUUAGGGAUGUUGAACUGAAACAAGUUAGGCCCCAGUUCCAUCACUGUCAUUUUUCUAGGAUACCCCCAUGCUGCAACCACAAAGUUCUUAACCCCUGUGAAGUUUGCUACUUUGUCUCCCAUAAUUCUCCCUAUUAGGCUACCUUCACAUUCCCUCACUCCACUAUGUAGAUCUUCAAGCUCUAGCGUAGCUCCUGAGAGCUCAUUCCCAGCAAGAGAGAAUUUUUGCAUCAGCUCAGUCAGGUCACCCUCCAUUGAUAGUACCAGUCUUUCUAGGCAGUAUUUCCUUCUCCACACUCAGGAGAGUUUGAAGUUACUAUAGGAAAGGGAGCAAGACACUACUAUAAGAAAACUAAUCUAUUCCCACUAAAGUCAGGGAAAAAACUACUACAAGAACAGAACUAGCUCUUGUAUAAAACAUAAAAGUUGUAGCUUUGAGUUAGCUUUCCAAUGUAUCAAGAAUCAUCCAAUUUAGAACUCUGUAUACUGAUAAAUGACCAAAAUACCUUUGACUGGUCAGCGCUCUAUUUCAGCUUUCGAUCAUGAAAUUGCACUUCUGUAUUUCGACUUUUUGACAAUGAAAAUGACUGAACUGGACUUCGAUGUCUUCAUACCAAAUGUAGAUCUAUCUCUUAGCUUCAAAAUGGUAUAAAAAUCACCUCAAUUCAAUACUUGUAUCUCAAGAUAUAGCCGAAAUACCACAAGGUAUCAAAGAUGUCUUCAUUUGUAUUUCAUCAUUUGAGUAUUUUGCACUUCAUGUCUUUUUUUUAUCACUUCAAAUCAUCAUCAAUUAUCCAAUUAUCUUCUGAAAUCACUCCAAUUGAUGAUUGAAUCAUUAAAUCUACAAAAACAUGAAGUUUUUACAAUUAAAAUUCAUAAAAAUGUAAUUUUUACCACUUAAACCACAAAAUGCAUAUUUUCACUAGAAAAUUAGUUAAUUAGCUAUAAAAGUAAAUAAAAUACACCAAAACUAAAGAAUAAAACACACAAAAAACACGUAAAAUAUAUGCUUAUCAGCGAGCUCUACAGGAAGUUAAAGGUUAUGUUCAAUCAUCAGAAAACGCAGCUUUUAAUUUACGUAUACAUUCAUAGAACAUUGAAAAGCCAAGGGGAGAUUAAGUAGACUUCAACUAUUACCAUGUUAUUAAAAAACAUGACGACUUUGUUUCUAAUUUCAACAACCUUGUUAUCAAUUCAUUUGUCAAAUCACAUAUCUUACAACUAAUAAUUAGCCGCCGUAACAGUUGAGAGUUUCAAUAUUGAUCACCUAAUAGAGAAAAAUUUAGCAAAGCUAGCUAACUAUUGCCCAAUAAUAAUUGAAAUUGGCAAUCUUGACUGCUUGGCGCCCCAUUAUGCAUUUCCCAUUGGAAUUAACAUUCAAAUAACUACAUUUAAUAUCACCACCAUAGUUGGAAAAUCACCAAAAAUUCAAUCUUUUUUAGCAGAAUUUAACAAAAAACUAGAGAACUUUGAACAUUCAGUUAACCAACACUUGAUUAAAUAGUUGGAUGCUUUAUUAGCCCCAUUCCUCCAAUACAAGUCCUAAAAUAAAAACCCACUAUGUGAUUGUCAGACAUUGAAUUAAUUGAAGCAAAUCAAGCAAAAAAAAGUUGAUAUGUAAUAAUAUAUAAGAGGAACUGAACAUAAUUUCUAUGCCAACAUGCUCAAACAUGAUCUUCAGGGAUUCAAAACAUAUUCGUUCUCGAGUUUAUGUUACAUAUUAGUUCGGGGCUUUGAACUAGAAAUGAUAGACGUGCUUAUAAUAAGCAGACUACAUAUAAUAUAGGGAUAAUUUCAGAAACCUCCCCUGAGAUUUAUGACAAUAUCAUUUAGCAUCCUUGAAAUUUGAAAGAUAUCGCUUGUCUCUCUUAUUUUAAACUUUUUAUAACAUUAUAAAUCCAUUUUAAAAUAUAUUAUUGGAAAAACUCAUUUUUGGAUAGAGAAUUUGUAGUCAAUCCAAUAUUGCCCUUUUCUUCGGCACCAUUUUGUUUUCAUAACAAAUGUAGUUAAUCCUUUAAACUUUUAAAAACUUCGCAGAUAUGGUUUUGCAGUUAAGAAUUAUAGGAUAUUAACAAGAUUGAAAAACAUUUUAAUAGUGUUCAUGCCAUUAGUUGGUGCAAUAAAUAUUAAAUUUAUAAAUUCAAAAGCACUUUUUAGUAAAAUAAUAACUUCUUUUGAUCUUUGAAAACAUAUCAAAUGAGUUUGUAAACAUAAUUUAAUUUUUUUCCAAUUUUUCAAAAAUUAUAAUAAUUUGAAAAACUCCUCAAGUAGACUAUGAACACUUUGUAGUUAAUAAUAUUUUUUUGGCCUGAAAACACCUUAAAUAUAGUCUUAAAAUAAAUUAUUUAUACCUUAAAGCGACUACUGUUAUAUUGUAUCCUGUAAAAUUGCACAUUCACUCAAUUUGUCUAUUGAUUUCAAGCUUUUGUUAAUAUACUUUUAAUUUUGAAAAAAAAAGUAGGACAACAAAGGGCACUUUUGGAAUGAAAACAUCUUCUCUCUUCAAAAAUGAGUUUGUUAAUAAUUUAUUUUGUAAUGGGCCGAUAAUGUCACAAAAAUUAGAAAACAGGGAAGACAAGUGAUUUUUUCAAAAUUCAAAAGUGCUAUAAGUGAAAUUGUCAAAAAUCUCAAGAGAAGUUUCUAAAAUUAUCCCUAUAUUAUAUGCCUUGCAGUUUUCCUGCCCGUAGUUGAGUGCCCAUAUUUUUCCACUUUACUUUUGGUUGAUUCCAAAUAUUUUCCAAUUUACUGGAAAUAAUUUUUCUUUUGCAUCAUCCUCAUUCGUUCAGGAUAUUAAAGAAGGCCAUUAUUCUCUUUCUUAGUUUAAUUUCAAGCGUAAAUAUGCAACCAUUAUACAGUCACAUUCUCUCUAAGUGCUUUCCAAACGGAGGUAUCUCAUCAGUAUAUUAACGGUAAUAAGUUAUAUAGUACAAGAGAGCAUGCGAUACAUGUCAACGUCUCUUAACGUUUAUAGUCACCAAUCACUCUCUAAACCAUCACUAACGGUAGUGGCAGUGGUGUCACCAUCAAAGUUCCAUCACCAACGGCGAUGGCUCUCGUGUCACCACAGGUUUGUAGCCCCUCACCACUCAUUUACGCUUCUGUCGGACUUUAACUUUGGUCGGUAAGUCUAUCUUAUAGCAAUUGUAUCCUUAAUAAAUGCCAAGAAAAAAAUUUGUCUGCUUAGAGUCCCACAAUUCGAUUGGAGAAAUGUGCAUAGAGUAGGUGGAAACAUUUACUAAUUUUCAAAAUUUUUCUGCACUAUAUAGUACUAAGUUAAAGCCUCAAGCCUCACCAACCAAACAGUUAACUUACAUGUCCAGGCUUAUAAUGUUACGAGAUAAUUAAUUUUAAGGGAGAUUAGUGUAAUUUUUGAAAUUUGGAGGAAAUAGUCAGGAAUUUGUGAAAUAGUCAGAAAUCUCAAAGGGAGUUUAUGAAAUUAUCUCUUUGUAAUAAGGGUGAUUAAAAGCCCCAAACGUCAUCGUUUAUUUUAGUGGCAGUUAUUUUUAUAAAUAAUGGCUGUGUAUUAAAGGCAAGGGAUGUAACUGAAAUUGGUAUUUGAUAACUUAAUUAAAGAUUCACCCUUCCUGCUCAAUUAUCGCUCUCUUCAUAUCUCUCUUUCUUUUCCUCUUUUUCUUUCCGUCUUCUUUUCCUUUUCUCUUUGUGUCUUCAUUCUGCACUUAUUCUUCUUUAUUCUAAGCUACUAAAAUCUUCCUAUUGAUUCUAGUUAUGACAAUUGAUAUCAGAGCCGUCGAAUCCUUGCCGCACUAAGACUAAUUUCACGGUGGAAAACCUAGAUAUCAGUCUUGUUACACCCAAAUCAUUGCAUAAGUUCAGCAUAGUUUUGUCUCUUUUAAUUCAUUGAUCGUCUAAAUAAUAAAGAUGUUUUAGUAGUGCCAAUAAUUAUCCAAUCUUCCUCAUGGGAUCGACCCGAUAUCUGUCAUAAACUACUAAUUUGACCUGUAUACUUGCAGUCAAAACGAAUAUAUUUCGGAAUUGAACUUGUACUUAUACUAAAAACCCGUCAGUUACCGAAAUUAAAACUUUCAUUUAUUAAUAUAAAUAAGAAAACGCAAAUCACUUAGUGUAAACACCAAAAUCACUUGAUUCCCUAAAUGAUCUAAAUCAAGAAGUUUUCAUUCCUAUCAUCUUAUCAAUUUAGUAUCAGUGAUUCCAACUUGCAUUAAUUUGUUUUAAUUUAAUUUUUCCAAUACUUUUGGAGAAUGGACAUAUUUUAGCCAUGAAAUUACAUUUUUAUAUAUAAUUUUUAGGUGUCAGUUUGAUUGUAAGUCUAAUAUGUUUGGAAUAUUUUAUAUAGUUGGCCGGCAUAACCAAGAACUUAAUUUCAAUAUUUUUGAAACUUAUAUAAAUAUAAAAUAAUUAUGACAUCAUGCUGAUAUCAACGAAAUUUUUAGAACGGUCUGACCGAUUCGACCAGUUGACCACUGAUCUAAUAUUUUAGCUGAGUCAUUAUUCGGUCCGAGUUUAACAACAUUGCCAGAUAUUGCUCUCUUGAGGAACAAAUCAAGCAACAAGAAACUCGCCUUCAAGAAGGGUUGGACUCAAUGGCUGCAUUUCAAGUGAACUGCCAGCAGACUCUAUAGCAGAAUUUGCAGCAGCAAUUCCACGAUGAGUUGGAAGAAGAAUCAUGGAGCUUGGUGGUUGGGACAUAAUCCUAGGUGUUGAUUGGAUGUGUCAUUUCAAUCCAAUUACCUUUGAUUUCCAUAAGUUAAGCAUUGCUCUCAGCAAUGAGAGGGAACUAGUACAUUUGGCUUUAUUAAUUAACCAGUGAUGGAGUUGGUGAAAGGAAGGACCUCAGGACAUUUAUACAGGACAAAAAAAAUGUCGUGCUUCCAUGCAAUUGGACAUGAUAAAUGUAUGAGUUAGUGAAACUCUUGGAGAAGUCAAAGCUGUGUUGCAACAAUUUUCCAAAGUAUUUGAGACUCCACAAGGCUUGCCACUAAAGAGAUCAUUGGAUCACCAAAUUACACUCAAACUAGGAGCUAAGCCUUUCAAAUUAAAACCAUGCAGGUAUCCUUAUGCCCAUAAAACUGAAAUUGAGCAGCAAGUUGCUGAAAUGUUAACCAAUGGAAUUAUAACACAUAGUGGUAGCGCUUUUGCAUCUCCUGUUUUGUUGGUUAAAAAGAAGGACAACACUUGGAGGUUGUAUGUAAACUACAGGAAAUUGAAUGAAAUGACUGUCAAGGACAGAUUUCCUAUUCCCAAUAUUGAUGAGUUGUUACAUGAACUGCAUGGCACAAAGUAUCUCUCUAAACAAGAACUUACAGUUGGAUAUCAUCAUUGAGGGUUAAAGCUAUAGAUGUUCCCAAAACAGCUUUUCAGACUCACCAUGGAUGCUUUGAAUUCCUGGUGAUGCCUUUUGGAUUGACAAGUGCUCCAACUACUUUUCAAACUCGAUUGAACCAAAUCUUUCAACCAUACUUGAGGAAAUUUGUAUUAGUCUUCUUUGACGAUAUUCUUGUUUAUAGUCCCACCUUAGAAAUGCAUGUGCAGCACCUACAGAUUGUACAAGGAUUAUUAGCAGAAAAUCAACUUUAUUGUAAGCAGUCUAAAUACACUUUUGCUCAGACUUCUAUGGAGUAUUUAGGUUAUAUUAUAUUUGAAAAAGAUUGAUGGUUUAAAAGUAGAGUGCAUUCUUUCUUAGAGAAGUUCCAAAGACUGCGAAGGAGUUAAUGGAACCCCAGGCUACUAUAGAAGGUUUAUCAAGGGCUAUGGAAUCAUAUGUAACCAAUGACUCAAUUACUUAAAAAAUAUGGCUUUGUUUGGGAUUUUGACCCUCAAUCAGCAUUUGAGGCAUUAAAGCAGGCAAUGACUACAACCUCAGUUUUAAGCAUGCCUAACUUUGAAAUUCCACUUAUAAUAGAAACUGAUGCCUAUCGAUUGGAAAUUGGGCUGUCUUGAUGCAAAAUUGACAACCAAUAGCUUUUCUUAGUAAAGCUUCGUCACCUCAAAGCCUCCGUAUAUCAGUUUAUGGAAAAGAGCUGCUUGAUUCAGUAAUGGCAUUAACUAAGUGGAAACAUCACUUGGAUGGCGAUCAUUUUAUAAUCAGGACAGAUCAUCAAGCUCUCAAAUACUUGUUGGAACAAAGGCUCACUCACUCACUGCAACAGUUUAAGUGCCUGACACAAAAAUGUUGGGAUUGGAUUAUGAAAUCCAGACAAAAAGGGGACCGACAAUAGGGCAGCAGAUGCUCUCUCUAUAAGGAGGAUCUUGGAGAAUAUAGAGUCUGGAUCAUAAAUUGGAACCCUAUAUGCCUCAUCCUCAGCUCAACAAUAUGGAUGAAUGAGUUAUGACAAAGUUAUGAGGGAGAUGUGUUUGCUCAGGAUAUCAUUGCUCAACUUAUGUUGGAUCCAAACUCCAAUCCUAGGUAUUGUUUGGAGAAUGGACUACUUAAGUUCAAAAGUAGACUAUAUGUAUGGACUGCCAAUGAGACCAGAAUCAAAUUAAUCAAAGCUUUACAUAUCUCAGCUGUAGGAGGACACUCUGGGCAAAAAGGAUGCCUACAUAAAGUCAAUACACUCAAGCUUGGUCCCAUUUAAAGUCAAUACAUAAAUUCAAUACACUGAAGCUUGGUCCCAAAAAGGAUGCCUACAUAAUGUCAAUACAUAAAGUCAAUUUAUUGGCCUCACAUGAAAAAUGAUGUGCCACAGUUUGUGAGAACUUGUGAUGUUUGCGAAAGAAGAAAAAGUGAAAACAUGCCUUAUCCAUGUCUAUUGCAACCAACUCCUGUACUUACUCAAGCUUGGUCCCAUUUAACAAUGGAUUUUAUUGAACAAUUGCCACUAUCUAGGGGUUUUGACACUAGAUUAGUGGUGGUGGACCGUUUGACAAAAUUCAGUCACUUCAUUGCACUGACUCAUCCUUUUACUACCAAACAAGUGGCUCGGUUGUUCAUUGACAAUAUUUAUAGACUUCAUGAUUUAUCAGAAACAUUAGGGAUAUGGUGUUUACUAGCAGAUUUCUAGUAGGAAUUGAUUAAGAUGAUAGGCAUAGACCUUCAUUAUAGCUCUUCUUACCAUCCUCAAUCAGAUGGCCAAAAUGAAAGGGUGAAUCAGUGCCUUGAAAACUACCUAAGGUGCAAGUGCAGUGAGCAUCCUAGGCAGUGGAGUAAUUGGAUCCCUUUGGUAGAAUUCUGGUAUAACACCAAAUUCCAUACUAGUUUGCAACUCACUCCUUUUGAAGUAUUAUGUGGCUAUCAACCAAAUCAUCUUCCUUUGGGGCCAUUCCAUGAUGCUACAAUACCUACUGCAGCUGCUUUAGUAUAGGACAGACUUCAAGUAUUAUCCAACAUCAAGGAGAACUUGGUUAAGGCACAGAAUCGAAUGAAGUACUGUGCUGAGUAGCAUAGGACUGAAAGAGAGUUUUUGGUUGAAGAUUGGGUAUUUCUCAAAUUGCAGCCUUACAAACAGCAAACAGUGGCCAUUAGGAAAAAUUUAAAACUAUCAACCAAAUAUUAUGGCCCAUACUAGAUCUUGAGGUUGGAAAUGUUGCUUAUAAGCUCAAACUUCCACCAGGACCACAUAUUCAUCGAGUGUUUUCAUGUUUCGUUACUAAAAAAGAAAAUUGGGACUGAUCAUAGUAUUACUUCUACGUUGCCAGAAAUGGAUACUUUUUGACCAUUGUCUUUUGGAACUAGAGAAAGUGUUACAGAGGAGGGUUAUUUUGAGGAACUCAAAGCCAGUUAUUUAGUACCUAAUAAAAUGGAAACAUCAGCCACCAACCUUUAGGCCUGGUGGUCACCGCAAAGCACUUAAGUUUUGGUUACCAAAUUGUCAUUAUAUAUGGGUGCUUUUAGUGACUUUUUCCGAUGGAGUUUCUACUCCUAUCAGCUCCCCAUCCCCCUAAAUUAGAAUAGAUUAGAUAAUAAUAAUGUUACCACAAAAAACAAUUUUGAACCAUCAAGGGGGAAGAUAAAGCUUCAUAGGAAGAUAAGAGUUUUAUCAACCAUCAAUUUCCUACUUUUCAAGCUUAAGAAGAAGCUGUGUUCUAAGGGAAAGGGAAUGCCAGGAACUUAAAAUUAUUAUAAUUGUCAUUUUACAUAGAGUAACCUGCCUUUUGUAAUAAGAGUGAUUACGAACCCUAAACUAGGUCGUUUACUUUAGUGGCAGUUAUUUUUACAAAUAAUCUAUAUAUCUAUAUGUAUUGUAGGGAUGGUUUUUAGGAUGGUUAAAUCAGAAUGCUUAUAACUCCUCAUUUUUUUUAUAGAAUUUUUAAUUUGUUUAAUUGUUAUAUAUCCUUUCAUGUUUUUUGAAUUUAAAAGUAAGAAGUGGCCCACUUAUAUAGGAAUUUGAUUUGAAAUAUAUUAAUGUGAGGGUAAAUAAAGAGGAAAAAUCACCAACCCUACUAAGAGUAAAAAAGUAAAUAACAAUAUUUUACCCUUCAACUUAGUAAUCCUAACUAAAAGGGCAAAUUAUAUAGAAAACAACAAGAAAAUAAUAUUCAUUGGUCAUGGAUUUAAAAUAUCAAUAAUGGUACCAUUUGUGAAUUCUAAAUUAUGAAAUCACUGAAUAAAAAACAAAGUAUUACUAGUCUAAAAAAAAAUUAUGGAUUUAAAGGGUUUGGGAGAAUGGUGAAGGGAAAAUAAUAGGAAAUUGGGGGGAGGGGGGCAAUGAUAGAAAGCUAGAGGCUAGCUGUAGGCGAGGGAAAGACAAUAACAAGGUAAAGAGUGGUGGGAAAAGUCAAAAAAGGAAGGUGGACUAUUACAAGAUUGGACGGAGAGAGGGGAGAAGAAAGGAUGGGAUUGUGAGGAUAUGACAGGAAGGAUGGCACCGUGGCAAGAAGUCUGAAAGUCAUAGACGGUAGCAGAUAGCCAAUUAGCAGGUAAAAGAUAGGAGAAUAAUUUUCUAAAAUUGAGGAAAAUGAAUUAGUUAUACUUUAUAUUUUUAAUGUUAAAAAGUUUGAUGUAUAGGUAUAACAUGAUAUAUUGAUAAAUAAGUUUACACUUGGUCUAUCAUAUAAGUCGUUAUAUAUUAAAUUAUUUCAUUCAAAUUGUUAUCAUAUAUCGACAAACAAUAGGUUAACAAAAUUUGGUUUCAACUUAUUUAAAAUAUUAAAAUUAAGAAAGUCCAUUUUGUAUUUACGAAAUAAACUUUUUUUAACAUGGUAGGUAUACACUUCUUUGAAUUUUUUUUUGUCUCUUCAUAUGCUUUAUCUUAUACUAUAAUUGACGGGCUUUUACUACAAGUGCAAGUUUAAAUAUGAUUUUAUACCCGUUGUCUGCAAGUAUACAGGUUAAUCAAAUAAUAUAUGGCAUGUAUCGGGUCGAUCCCACAAGGAGCAAUGUCUACAAGUACUAGGUUCUUAUUUUCUCUAUUAUUUAGACUUAUAAUGAAUUUGAGCAGAGAAAUAAUAUUGCUACUGUCUACAAUUCUGAGUUAACAAAUUGCAAGAUACAAAUGGAGAUUUUUCACUAAAGACUUAAAUCUAGGGAUAUAGAUUUCACUUAUGGCACAAAAGAUCUGAUUUAAUGAACUUAACACUUGUUACUACUCUUGUUUAACCAGGGAUUCAUUUCCAAAAAUACCAAAAUCUCAUUCUCAUGAUAAUAAUGGUCAAGAAUAGUUUAGUUUUUCCUAAUCUCUUGGUAAAUAACUAACUCUGUUCUUACUUCAUGCAUGAAAUGCAGAUUAAUCCACUUGAAUGUAUUUCUAUUCUCAUGAACAUAUAACUCAAGUUCUACUCAUGUUUUUCCAUUGUUACUACCAAUUCUCAUUGAAUAAUAAUAACUAUAAACCUGCUAUUGGUGAUCAAAUAACAACAAGUAAUUAACCAUGAACAAGUAAACAAGUUAAUACAAGAUACAACAAGUGUAAAUCACAUUCAAUUCAUAUCAUUUGGCCACAAGUUUCAUCUACUCCCUAAAUAUAGAAAUUUAGCUACUCAUGGAUGAUAUAACAAUCAAACUCAUAACUUCAAUAAUGAAAAACAUCUCAAGUUACAAGUACUAGAAGGUUAAGAAAAGCUUAGCCAAGUUAAUGGUGAAACCCUCCAAUUUUUGCUAUGUCUUGCACUAGAAAUGAUUACAAGAUGAAGUCUCCAAAUGCUCCUUCAGGAACUUCAAGCUAGAGAGAAAAUGUUACAAGAAGAAAACUAGCUACGUAUGGUCUCUGUAUUGACUUCUGGUUGUUUCCCUCCAUAAAAGCUGAUGGAAAGUCCUCUUUUUCUCCCCUCAUGAUUCCAAAAUCUCCAAUUUGUUAAGAAAGUCAAAAGAGAUGUUGUUUUGACUUGAUCAUAAAUCAUUUUGUCCUUCUUUUUGCUUCAGAAACAUGUGCCACCGAAUUCUCUUACCAAAGAUAGCUGGAAAGUAGUGUGAAAAGAAAGAAAACCGACUGUGCCACUUGCAGAGGAGAGAUGCAGAUCCGAGCCUAGGAUCUGAGGGGUGCAAUACGAUCCAAGCUCGGAUCAAGACUGAUCCGAGGCCUUUCUAACAUGGAUCCGAGCUCGGAUCAUCUGUCCUCGGAUCCAUUACUCCAGAAGUACAGACGAGGGCUCGGAUCGACCUUGGUGUACACAGAUCCAAGCUCGGAUCCCUGUGCUUCAAUUUCCAGACUUUUGAUUCCUUCCUUUUUACUUCAUUUUUGCUCCUAGUUUCUUUUGUACUUUAUCCUUCAGAUGAUCCUUGCUUUUUCUUUAUCUCGUACAUGAAUUUCCACAUAUCAAUAUCCUUCAAAAUAUCACAGAUUAAAGCAUUAAUCCACUCUUUUAGCAAGUUUUGAUUACUCAAACAACACUUAAGCAAUUAGCACCAAAAAGAGUUCAAAUAUGGCUUUAAUCCUCUCAAAUCAUGCCAAAAGUUCAUGCCAACUUGUACAAAAAUAUGCGUUAAAUAUUCACUUAUCAAUAAUAUAUAAGUAUUGUUUUCAAUUGAAAUAUAAAUCUGUGCAUAGCACGAGUCAGAAUACUAGUGGCUAUGUACUAAAGGCAAGAGAUACAAAAGAAAUUGGUAUCGGAUAACUGAAUGAAAGAUUCUGGGAAAGUUGGGGUAGGAGGAGUAAUUAGGGAUGAAAUGGGAAUCUAGAAAAGGGAUUUUGCACAAACUUAGGAAUAAUUAGCAAUGUCACUGCUGAGCUAUGGGGCAUAAUCAGGGCUUGGAACUAGCAUGGGAGCAAGGCAUGAGGAAGAUUGAGGUAGAAACAGAUUCACUAACCAGUAUUAUGCUGAUAAAGGAGGAGAAUAGGGAGGGACCAUAUGCAAACUUGGUGAAGAUUAUUCUAGAGGGGCUGAAAGGAGAUUGGGAGUGCAAGAUAAUCCAUACAUGGAGAGAAGGAAAUAGAGUAACUGACUGUCUAGCUAAGCGCAAUCUGGAACAGGACAUGGGAUUGACAAUUUUGCAAGAACCACCGGAUAGUGCGAGGAGUCUUUUACUUGAAAAUAUUAUAGGGGUUGCUAUCCCAAAGCUUGUAAAAAGCUAGUGGGCCUUAAGCCCUCCAACGCACCAAACAAAAAAAUAUAUAUAUUCUUCCUCCUUGCUCAAUUCUCUCUCUCUUUCACUCUUCCUAUCUUUCUUUGUUUUUCUCUUUCUCUUUCUCUUUCUCUUUCUGUCUUCGUUCCGCACUCCUGCCUCUAUAUUCUUCUUCAUCUUUAAUUCUAAGCUACUAAAAUCUUCCUACUGGUUCAAUUGUGAUAGCAACUUGAAGACUCUUAAAACCUUUUUUUGGCCACUUAGCUGAGCCUAGUGAUUAAGAUCUAUGUUAGCAAAUUGAGUUCAAAUUUAUAUACCAUUUGGUUUGUUAUGACUCAACAAGGCUUGAAUAAUUUUUUAAAUAGCUCUUAAUUAACAUAUAUUUUAUAAAGUGAUAAAAUUACAUUAAAAAUUAAUAAUAAAUAAACAAAUUCAAUUUUGAAUAGAUCUUGAUUUUAUGGGAGAUAAGAUCUAAUAGGCUAGGCUCCACUUCACUGUAUUGAAGAGAAUUUUUCUCCAUUACACCCCAAUAAAAUUAAUUUCAAAAUUAUAUUCAAAAAUCAACACCAUUCAUAAUAUAUUUUUACUAUUAUUCAUAUAAUAGUAGAAUUUUUCAGUUAUGCCCCUAUUAUGACCCAUGCAAUUUUGAAAAAUUUUCAAUUGUACCCCCAUUAUGUUGUUUAGAAAUGUGUGUGUGUGUGUAUGUGUGUGUGUAUAAUUAGUUUUGUAACUUAAUGAAAAUGAAAUGUUACAAAAUUCAAAACAAUGGCCUUCCACAUCAAUAAAAUGAAUUUUGUGAAUUUUUCAGUAAAAGUAAAAAUAUAGAGUAAUUGUGUUGCUUAGUAAAAUAAAGUAACCCUAAUUUUUUUUCAAGAAAGUAGAGGUGACUUUUUAAUAAAACAAGAAAUUUUAUAUCCUUCUACCUUAGAAAACUAUAGGUCUGUGGUUACUUUAAAAGGGUUGUCAUAUAUUUUUUAAAGAAAAUUAUUGUGUUAUUAUGUAAUUUUGUGUUAUAUUACUCAUUAAACAGAAAUUUUUAUAUCUGUUCAAAGCGACUACUUGUCAUGUCCAAUUGUUGCUCCAAAACCAAUAAAAGAGUUCCAUGUGAUGUAAUAUAGUUUAUGUGAAAAAUGUUGUUAUGUACUACUUUUAGGAAAGACAAGGAAGAAAUUUUGAUAUUAUUUUUGCCCCCACUAACAAUUAUUUCUGGCUCCGCCACUGUUGAAGCCCCACGUUUAGGCCACUGAUCAAGCUUACAUCUCAUGUUGCAGAUAUUCUAGAUAGUUCUAUGCAAAAGUCCUUUAAGAUUUGAUCGUGAUGUACAUGGCCUGUAAUAUAAAGGCUUAAAGAUGUACCAUAAAAUUUUUCCUUUGGAUUAAUGCAGUAAAUUAUGCUAUUCAUCACGUAUAAACCGCAAACAAUGUGGUUCCUUGUUUAAAGAAGUACAAACAAUAUUCCCGUUUUUACACACUUCCUUUAGGAUUACCAAAAAAUUAUAUUUGACAUGUUAGAUCCUGAUCAAAUUUUUGCUGAUAAUAGUAGCAGAAUUAGAAAAUUUAAUUUGAGGGUGUGAAAUGCAUACACAUAUAAACUUUGGAGUCAAUAUAAAAAUUUUUGAAAAGUUUCGAGGGACAAAUAGGUUAAUGCAUAUAGGUAAUUUUGAAAUUCUCAAACUUUUAAAAAGAAAAAGCAUGAUUUUCUAGAAACUUGGGAGCAAAUGGCUAAAUAUAUAUAGAAUAUUUUAAAAAUUCUUAAACUUUUAUAGAAGACAAAACAUGAAUUUCUAGAAUUUAUGAGACGGUGGCCCCUCCCUGCCCUUAGUUCUGCCUUGACUAAGAACAUGCUGAAGAUUUUUCAAAAUUGAGAAUCCGGCCAUGGAUUAUUGAGAAUCCGGGGUUGGAUUCUAUGGAAAUUGAAAUGGAUUUAAUGUCCGGAUUCAAUCCAGAGAAUUGUGAAAAUUUUGUCGAAACCUGUCAAACUGGAUCCAUAAAUGGAUCCAUUAGGAUCGCGGUCGAAUUCUUUGUAGCAAUCAAAAAGUUUCAAUUUUUUGUUUUGGCACAUUUUUGUAUUUUGGUGGUUAAUUAACCUCCAAAUGAUGUCUAAACCAUUGAAGAAUAUCUGAACACUUGCAUUAGUAUCGAGAAACCUUUUGACCAAUAUAAUUCAAAGAAAAGUUACAAAUUAGUUCGACAAAAGUUGCAACAAUUGAUCACUUUACAAUCACUCUUUUAUAAAAGGUCAAGUAAAAAGUGGUUAGCUGCAGAAAAUCACUUUUCUACUAUUUAGAAUUAUGUGCAAAAAAAUGCAUCAUAUUUCAAGUUUGUGUUUGUCUCAUUUAGUGCAAAAGUAGAAGACAAACAAAUUUCAAAUUAUUCUAAAGGAUAUUUGUCCAAAUUCUUUUGUACACGAAUUUUGGACAAAUAAAAUCUAAAGGAAAGUGAUUUAGAAUUACUAUUUGAAGCCAUCUUUGUAUCUUAAACUUUGUUUUUGUUCAGCCAUUUUAUUUGUUAUAUCCAUAAAAGAACAUUAACCCGGUGCAAAUUUUUUUGUUUAGCAAACAGAAGAGAUAACUUUGGUGUUAAGCUAACUCUUCUAAGAGAAUUUUGUAGCGAGUUAUUUGAUGCCAAUUAAUUUACGUUUCUCAAAUUUUAAUAAUUCAGUCCUCUACUCGACAACGUUGGAAUGAAGUCUAAUCAAUAAAACUCAGCAAGGUCAUUAUUUUCUGACGCUGUCACCUUCAAUUUGUGUACUAACCAUUUUAUUUUGAGCUUGGACAAGCCACGUGACGUUUGGUAAUUCAACAUAACUCCUUUUUUCUUCCUUGUUGACUUGUAUAUGCAAAAAUUACUUGAUCUAAAAGGACAGAUUAAGUAAUUAACAAAAUAUCACUUUAUUCUCAUACAUUUAAUAAAGUAGUAUUACAAAUCAAUCAUUACAAUGCCCUGUGCAUAUAUAGCACAAGAGUCAUGCUAGUAGAAAUUUAGAACAAAUCCAUGGAUCAUUUCAAAAACUGUGCCUCAAGUAAGUCAAUGACUUUCUUGUCGACUUGGAAUGCCUUGGCGAGAACAUCUGCAGAAAUGAGAGGAUCUGAUCCAAAGACUGCAUUUGCAAUAGUAAUGACUCCUGGAUUUUGGCUGCCAAAACCAGCAAAUGCAACAGCAUUCGUCUUCGCAACAUUAAAUUGGAAGUGAAUCAGACCUUCAGGGAACACGAAAACAUCUCCUGGAUUCAACGUUUUCGUAAAGAGUUGAUUUUUCAUGUUAUUUGGUGGAUUUGAAGUGACAAACCCAACAUUAAGAGUGCCCUCUAACACGAAUAGGACCUCGGUUGCACGAGGAUGAGUAUGGGGUGGGUUUAGGCCAUAAGGAGCGAAAUCGAGACGAGCUAGGGAAACUCCCAAAGUGUUGAGCCCAGCUAGAUUGUUGACGUUCACAGCAGUAACAUUAGAACCUUGUCGAUUUGCUGUAUUUCGAGGUACGUUCAGUCCCUGAAAGAAGAAAUCAUUGGCGUUCACGACCUUUGGGUCCUUGCAAAUCUUUCCGUUCACAAAC